rnacentral:rRNA from 1 species
UACGGAAGGGGCAAGCGUUGUUCGGAAUCAUUGGGCGUAAAGGGCGCGUAGGUGGUUCUGUAUGUCUACCGUGAAAGCGUACGGCUCAACCGUAUUUUGUCGGUGGAAACUGCAGGACUUGAGGCUGGGAGGGGCUGGUGGAAUUCCCUGUGUAGCGGUGAAAUGCGUAGAUAUCGGAAGGAACACCAGUGGCGAAAGCGGCUUCCUGGUCCAGCACCGACGUCAGGCACGAAAGCGUGGGGAGCAAACAGG